CCUACGGGAGGCAGCAGUGAGGAAUAUUGGUCAAUGGGCGCAAGCCUGAACCAGCCAAGUCGCGUGAGGGAAGACGGCCCUACGGGUUGUAAACUUCUUUUGCCGGGGAGCAAACCCGAGCACGUGUGCCCAGGCGGAGAGUACCUGCAGAAAAAGAAUGGGCUAACUCGGUGCAAGCAGCCGCGGUAAUACGGGGGUUGCGAGCGUUAUCCGGCUUAAUUGGGUUUAAGGGGUGCUCAGGGGGGCGAUUAAGCCGGGGGUAAAAAGUCAGGGUCCAACCCUGUCGAGCCGCCGGUACUGGCAGCCUUGAGAGGACGAGAAGUAGGCGGAAUGCGUGGUGUAGCGGUGAAAUGCAUAGAUAUCACGCAGAACGCCGAUUGCGAAGGCAGCAUACCGGCGCCCGACUGACGCUGAGGCACGAAAGCGUGGGGAUCGAACAGGAUUAGAUACCCCAGUAGUC
rnacentral:rRNA from 1 species